AUAAAACAGCAACUUCCUGUGAAAACAUUCUUCUGUGUUCAGGGAAUGGCACCUCAUAUGAGCUAUGCAAAUGUCUGAAUUCAGAGCACUCAUGUUUUGUUCGUUUGCAAUCACCGUUGCAUUUGCAAUCGACACAUUCUCGAUGAGUCGCGCAGGAAAUGGAGACCUUUUGUAUCGCCUAUGUAAAGGACCGUGUCAUACUCAUUUUAACGGGAAACAUACCGAUUGUCCUCGGCCCUGUCGAUGUGUCGCCAAGGCAAAAUACUGUCUGCCCAUCUGUGGACGCGGCUUCUGCGCGCCGCCGCCAUCGGGAAAGAGACCAAAAUGACGAGAAAUAAAAAUGUGAUCGUGG